CGGCAGGGAGAAGUGGGAGACAGGGAUUAUAAAGGAGCAUGUGAAAACUUUGGGGGGCACAAUAUGUUAAUUAUCUUGAUUGUGGUGAUGGAGUUAUGGGUAUAUUCAUACACCAAAACUUAUCCAAUUGUAAACUUCAUACAUGUUCAAUUCACUCUACGUCGCUUAUUACCCCAAUAAAACUGUGCCUCUGUUAUCUCAACACAAGGGCUACCUCCUGGCUUUUGUUCUGAGAAUCAGAUGAGUGGAAACCCUUAAAACAGCUGCUGACCCUUUAGUGGUAAGUUCUCACGAAGCAUCGUUUCUUGCGGUUGUAACAAACACAAUGGCUCAGAAGAGAGUUACAAGAAAGCUAUUUAUUUCCUAUAAGCAGGAAAUCUUACCUCCUACGUGGGGUAGGAAAACAGUACAGGAAUCAAAUGCCUUGCAAUUAAAAGUAAAUGUUGUUAGUUUUCCUGGAUAUUUAAAAAAAUUCUAAAAAAAAAAAUGUUUACCUUAAAAAAUGCAAGUAGUCAAAAAAUCCACUUGAUAGCCAAACCAAUUCUAAUUUCAGGUGUUGACUACUGAUGCUUGCAUGAUAAUUUUCUAAAUUCUCUAAAAUUCUUAUUUUGUGAUGGUUUAGAUCUUUUGGAGAAUCCUGGGAGAGUUCCCAGGUGUGUGUGUGAGAAAGAACCAAGCGUCCUUCUGCUGGAGACGAUAUUACUGUUUCACAUUAAUAAUUGAGAACUUACAUUUCCUAAGCCGAGCUCCGUAAGCCAAAUUUCUGCAACCCCAAAGAAAACUUUCCGCGGACUAAUACGGUUUUCGCAUAGGGACUUUGGUGGGAUGAAUGACGUUCUCUAAUUGGUUGAAGCUUUCACCGGCUACGCCCCCUGGUGCUUCGGGGAUUGGCUGGCGCAGGGGGCUGCUCCCUCAGGAUUGGCUAAGGCUGGCUUUCCACGCUCCCUACUCUCUCGCGAUUGGCUGAAACUCGCUUUCCGCGUCUCAUGAUGCUCCCUUGGGAUGGGCUAAGUCAGUGUGACAUUCUUCCCGCCUUCACCCGGCUGCCCUCCUGUUUCCUUCCUCUUUGUGCUCACGAUGCAGCCCCUGGGGGUGGAAGAGGAGGGAAGAAAGAAGACGUCACCACUGAUGGGCUGUUUCCUUGCCUGACUCAGUUGGUGUGUCCAUUCUGGAUGGCUGCCUUUCCUCAUGGCCUCUUGGAUGGCUCUCCCAUAAGUUCUGGAGGCUGGAAGCCUGACAUGUGCCAGCACGCUUGGAUUCUGGUGAGAGCCCUCUUUUGGGUUGCAAACUGACUUCUGCUAUUGUCACAACUAGCUCUCUGAUCUCUUCUUUUAAUUUUUUUUUAACGUUUAUUUAUUUUUGAGACAGACAGAGACAGAGCAUGAACGGGGGAGGGUCAGAGAGAGGGAGACACAGAAUCUGAAACAGGCUCCAGGCUGUGAGCUGUCAGCACAGAGCCCGACGCGGGGCUCGAACUCACGGACCGCGAGAUCAUGAUCUCAGCCGAAGUCGGCUGCUCAACCCACUGAGCCACCCAGGCGCCCCUCUGAUCUCUUCUUAUAAGGGCAUCAAUCCCAUUCAUGAGGGCUCCGCCCUCACAACCUAAUUACCUCUCAAAGUCCCCACCUCCAAAUGCCAUCAUCCGGGAUUGGGUUUUCAACAUGUGAAUUUGGGAGGAACACACACAUAACAUAAUAAAGUUACUAUUUUCUUACUCUUUGGUUUGUCUAUAACCUGCCUUAUUUCAAGGAAACUGGGGUGCCCCCCCACCACCACGGUGCAUGUAACUACACUCACACAAGAUGACA